rnacentral:rRNA from 1 species
CCUGGCGGCACUAGCGCGGUGGUCCCACCUGACCCCAUGCCGAACUCUGAAGUGAAACGCCGUUGCGCCGAUGGUAGUUUG